GGCGAACGCUGGCGGCGUGCUUAACACAUGCAAGUCGAACGGAAAGGCCCUGCUUUUGCGGGGUGCUCGAGUGGCGAACGGGUGAGUAACACGUGAGUAACCUGCCCUUGACUUUGGGAUAACUUCAGGAAACUGGGGCUAAUACCGGAUAGGAGCUCCUGCUGCAUGGUGGGGGUUGGAAAGUUUCGGCGGUUGGGGAUGGACUCGCGGCUUAUCAGCUUGUUGGUGGGGUAGUGGCUUACCAAGGCUUUGACGGGUAGCCGGCCUGAGAGGGUGACCGGCCACAUUGGGACUGAGAUACGACCCAGACUCCUACGGGAGGCAGCAGUGGGGAAUAUUGCACAAUGGGCGGAAGCCUGAUGCAGCAACGCCGCGUGCGGGAUGACGGCCUUCGGGUUGUAAACCGCUUUCGCCUGUGACGAAGCGUGAGUGACGGUAAUGGGUAAAGAAGCACCGGCUAACUACGUG
rnacentral:rRNA from 1 species